rnacentral:rRNA from 1 species
CUUGGUCAUUUAGAGGAAGUAAAAGUCGUAACAAGGUCUCCGUUGGUGAACCAGCGGAGGGAUCAUUACCGAGUUUACAACUCCCAAACCCCUGUGAACAUACCUAUUGUUGCCUCGGCGGUGCCUGUUCCGACAGCCCGCCAGAGGACCCCAAACCCUGAUUACAUUAAAGAAUUCUUCUGAGUAACCGAUUAAAUAAAUCAAAACUUUCAACAACGGAUCUCUUGGUUCUGGCAUCGAUGAAGAACGCAGCGAAAUGCGAUAAGUAAUGUGAAUUGCAGAAUUCAGUGAAUCAUCGAAUCUUUGAACGCACAUUGCGCCCGCUAGUAUUCUGGCGGGCAUGCCUGUUCGAGCGUCAUUUCAACCCUCAAGCCCCCGGGCUUGGUGUUGGGGAUCGGCGAGCCUCCGCGCCCGCCGUCCCCUAAAUCUAGUGGCGGUCUCGCUGUAGCUUCCUCUGCGUAGUAGCACACCUCGCACUGGGAAACAGCGCGGCCACGCCGUUAAACACCCAACUUCUGAAAGUUUGACCUCGGAUCAGGUAGGAAUACCCGCUGAACUUAAGCAUAUCAAUAAGCGGAGG